rnacentral:rRNA from 1 species
ACGGGAGGCAGCAGUGAGGAAUAUUGGUCAAUGGGCGAGAGCCUGAACCAGCCAAGUAGCGUGAGGGAAGACUGCCCUAUGGGUUGUAAACCUCUUUUGUUCGGGAAUAAAGUGCGGGACGUGUCCCGCUUUGCAUGUACCGUUCGAAUAAGCAUCGGCUAAUUCCGUGCCAGCAGCCGCGGUAAUACGGAAGAUGCGAGCGUUAUCCGGAUUUAUUGGGUUUAAAGGGAGCGUAGGCGGCCUUUUAAGUCAGCGGUCAAAUGUCAGCGCCCAACGCUGGCCUGCCGUUGAUACUGUUAGGCUUGAAUACACACAAGGAAGGUGGAAUUCGUCGUGUAGCGGUGAAAUGCUUAGAUAUGACGAAGAACUCCGAUUGCGAAGGCAGCCUUCUGGGGUGCGAUUGACGCUGAGGCUCGAAAGCGCGGGUAUCAAACAGGAUUAGAUACCCUGGUA